UACAGAGGGUGCGAGCGUUGUUCGGAAUUAUUGGGCGUAAAGCGCUUGUAGGCGGCCUGUCAAGUCGCGUGUGAAAUCCCCUGGCUUAACCAGGGAAGUGCGCGCGAAACUGAAGGCUUGAGUGCCGGAGAGGGUCGCGGAAUUCCCGUGUAGAGGUGAAAUUCGUAGAUAUCGGGAGGAACACCAGUGGCGAAGGCGGCGACCUGGACGGACACUGACGCUGAGACGCGAAAGCGUGGGGAGCAAACAGGAUUAAGAU
rnacentral:rRNA from 1 species